rnacentral:lncRNA from 1 species
AGGUGGGUACUUCGACCCGACGUCGGUACUUCGACCCGACGUCGGUACAGUGGUGCACGCUCGGUGACGUUCCUUCCACCCUUCCUAUUUACAUUGCUUAUCAUAUACUUUGCUUAUCAUAUUAUCCUCGUAUUACUCUACUCGGUUGUUUCCAUGCUCGGUAUCUUGUGUAGGAGUAGAGUAGAUUUCUUCAGCAUAUGAUAUCU